rnacentral:lncRNA from 10 species
AUUUCUUCUGAAUUUUGUCCUUGGAGGUGUGGGAAGAAUGAAUAUUGAAUAUUCAUACUCAACAUGAAUAUUUUGGAAGCUGGGCCUGAAAGUUAAGGGAGCUUUCAGAACUGUGAACUGUUGUCUCCACAUCUGAUGCUGAAGCUCGAAGCCUAAGGCACAAGCAGUUAGGAAGGGAAGGUCAUAAGCAGGCUGGAACCCACAAGCAUGAGCUGGAACCCUGCAAAGAUGGACUGAAACCCUGUUUGUUCUUGUUGCCUCUGACCCUAGUGAUGAGUGUGUCCUGCAGAAGCCAGGCCCUUCAUCGUGGAGUUAACCUGACACCUGGCCCAGGAGUCAGAGGCGCUGAAGGAGGAUUCAGGGCAGGUGGAUCGAGUUUGGGCCCAGAUGCUGCUCAAUACCAUGACAGUGAGCCAUGAGCUCAGCAACAGUUUGUGUGAGCUACAGAAUGGCUGCAUCACUUCUGCUGCUCCAAGAAGCUCACACAGAGAAAAAGUAAAUCCCUUCGUAAGAAGCUGAGAUAACAGAAUGAGGAAACUGGUCCUAGGCCAGAAAAGAGGAAUGUUCUCAGGUGAAGCGCCAAGUAUGUCACUGAAAGCCCAGUGGAGUUAAGUGUGCAAAGUCAGUCUGAACAUAUGCUGUAAUGGAUUUGACCUCGAAUAGCACUACAAAGAGAAAUUGCAGAUAACCAUCUGAACUGACUUCUGAAGCUUGUAGUUCUGGCUCCUGAGAUACAGAGAGAAAAGUGAGACCAAACAGGUGGGAGCAAACAACUCAGAGAGACCAGAAUGAAUACGAGUCUAACUUUAAAAGUAAAUAAAAUUAAAUAAAAAUGAUUUAUUCUAUAGCUCUUUGUCUUUUAUUGGUUCCCACACAAUGUCCACACAAUAAACAG